GGUCGUGGGAAAUGUGGCGUUUAGGAGUGAGCGUGCCGGUUUCGGUGCGGGCGGCAAGUCCCCCUGACCGGGGCCUGUCCAUAGCGGGUGCGAGGCCCAUAGCCGCCCGUCCCGUGCCGGAUGCGAUCUCCUUGGAGUCGGGUUGCUUGGGAGUGCAGCCCUAAUCGGGUGGUAAACUCCACCUAAGGCUAAAUACCGCCGUGAGACCGAUAGCAAACAAGUACCGUGAGGGAAAGUUGCAAAGAACUUUGAAGAGAGAGUUCAAGAGUACGUGAAACUGCUCAGAGGUAAACGGGUGGGCCCUCGAAAUCCUGUGGCGAAAGGAUUCANUYUGGUGCGCGGAACGCGGAGCGGGAAGUCGCGUAGGGCUUCCCGAGACCGGGUGCCGUCCCGUUCCGCGUCUUUUCGCGUACCAGACGCAAUUGUCUCUCGUCCGAAGGACGCUGCAGCCGGUCGGGCAGUGCAAGCGCGUCGGCCUGAAGGCGGGGAACCGGCAGGUGGCCGGUGGCGUGCCUCGUGCGCGUCGCCGGUUGUUAGCCAUCUCCGCAGUGGCUYGACGCCCGACCGUGGUGUCGCGAGGCCUCUUGGCCUCAUCGUCUCCUCCCUAGCGUCGCGGGACAGACGGUC
rnacentral:rRNA from 1 species